rnacentral:lncRNA from 1 species
UCAAUCUCAAACCCCCCAUUUUAAUUUUACUGCAAUUUAUUUUUAUUCCGCUUUCAGUUUAUCUCAUUUUUUGUUUAUCUCAUUAUUUCAGUUUAUUUUAUUGGUCUUGUUGAGAAAAAAUAAAUAGGUAAUCAAUUCUCUGUGGAUUCGAUCCUUCACCACUAUCUGCAGUUGUAAAUUGUUGAUAACCAAGAAGGCUAUUUUUGACCGGCUUCGACAACCG